UACGGGGGGGGCAAGCGUUGUUCAGAUUUACUGGGCGUAAAGGGCGCGUAGGCGGUCAGCACAAGUCAAUUGUGAAAUCUCCGAGCUUAACUCGGAAAGGUCAACUGAAACUGUGCGACUAGAGUGCGGAAGGGGCAACUGGAAUUCUUGGUGUAGCGGUGAAAUGCGUAGAUAUCAAGAGGAACACCUGCGGCGAAGGCGGGUUGCUGGGCCGACACUGACGCUGAAGCGCGAAAGCCAGGGGAGCGAACGGG
rnacentral:rRNA from 1 species